CCCUUAGAUGUUCUGGGCCGCACGCGCGCUACACUGACGAAGUCAGCGAGCAUGUCCUACGCCGACAGGUGCGGGGAAUCUUGUCAAACUUCGUCGUGAUGGGGAUUGAUUAUUGAAAUUCUUGAUCAUCAACGAGGAAUUCCUAGUAAGCGCAAGUCAGCAGCUUGCGUUGAUUACGCCCCUGCCCUUUGUACACACCGCCCGUCGCUACUACCGAUUGAAUGGUUUAGUGAGAUCUUCGGAUUGGCGCCACUGCGGCUCAGCAAUGGACUCGGUGGAUGCCGAAAAGUUGAUCAAACUUGAUCAUUUAGAGGAAGUAAAAGUCGUAACA
rnacentral:rRNA from 1 species